rnacentral:tRNA from 1 species
GCCUCCGUAGCAUAGUAGCUAUUGCGGCAGACUUGUAAUCUGCAGGUCGUGGGUGCGAUUCCCAUCGGGGGCU